CGCGGGGCACCGGGGUGGGUGCUCGGAAAAUCCUAGCAGGACUGUAGAGGGGAGAAGAUGUGAUGGGUCCGGUGGGAGCUUCGAAGGGCUGGGAGAGACGGUGCUGCUGGAAGAGAGGGUGCUGAUGGUUCUCUGAGGUUGGAAGAGGGAUAAAAGGGUCAGAAGGAGGAGGAUCUGAAGAAGGAAGAUAGGUCUGAGAGAGAAGUAGAUGGUUUAGUGGGAGGAGGGGGAGAGGAUCUGAAGGAGGAGGACAGGGUCUGUUGGAGGAGGUAAGGGUCUGAUGGAGGAAAUAAGGGUCUGAGGGUGGAGGCGAGGUUUGGAGGGAGGAGGUGAAGGUCUGAGGGAGGAGACAAGGGUCUGAAGGAGGAGAUAAGAGUCUGAGGAAGGAGGCGAGGGUUUGAGAGAGGAGGUGAGGGUCUGAAGGAGGAGAUAAGCAUCUGAGGAAGGAGGUGAGGGUUUGAGAGAAUAGGUGAGGGUUUGAAGGAGGAGGUAAGGGUCUGAGGGAGGAGGUGAGGGUCUGAAGGAGGAAGUGAGGGUCUGAGUGAGGAGGUGAGGGUCUGAGGGGAGGGGAGAGUAUCUGAGGGAGAGGGCACAGUCUGAGGAAGUCUGAGAAGCACUAAGUGAGGGGACGCAGCUCUGAGGGAGGAGGAGAGAGUUGGAGGGGAAAGAAGGGUCUGAGGAAAGAAGAUUUGGAGAGAGUCUGAGGGUAGAGGCCAGAUCUGAGGGAGAAGAAAGAGGCUCAGGGGAAAAGAUCUGAGGGUCCGAGGGUGGAAGGCAUGGACUAGGGGAGGAGGAGCUGGUGGGGUGGAGGGGUGGAGAGGCGUGCCUCCGGAGCCAGCAGGGACCAAGGGGAGGGAAGGGAAGGGAGGCUGGGAGGCAGCCCCGCCCUGCAGCUGUCUCUAAUUUCCCAGAAUCUUCUGCUCUCAGGAAAGUCCCAGCUCCCACAGCAGCCUCCCUCCAAUGUCGGGAACGGAGGAUGCGGAACCAGGAUGGCCACCCCCACCCUCCCCCGGCUCCUUGCACCCCAGGCGGAAAGGACUAGGGUCUCCUUUCUCUGGGCCUUGGCCUCUGGAGGGCCCCCACCCGCAGGGGCAGCCCCUGGAUGAGUCUUAGAAACUUCCCAGAGGAGGCCAGGAAGUUCUGCUUGGUGUCUAACCACUUUCCCCUCAUGCAGGCCGCCCUUUGUACCUGUUCAGAUCUCCUCCCCAGCUGCUGUUUCUUUUUCCCCAACCCAUCCUGGGGGAGGAAAGGCCAGGAAUUUACCUGCUCAAAGUCCUGAGAGGGAAACGAAAUUCCAUCUGGAAGUCUGUAGGCUUGAGGCAGCUUUCUUGCUCUCAGGGGCCUCAAUUUCCCUUUCUAAGAGGAGAGAGUAGGGCUGGUCAGGGCCUAAGUUCCCAUCUGGCUCAAUUACUGGGUCUUGUCCUGCUUUUUUUUUGAGACAAGAUCUGGCUCUGUCUCCCAGGCUGAAGUGCAGUGGUGAGAUCAUAGCUCACUGUAGCCUUGAACUCCUGGACUCAAAUGAUCCUCCUGCCUCAACCUCCCAAGUAGGUGGGACUACAGGCAUGUGCCGCAAUGACUGGCUAAUAAAAAAAACAAUUUGUAGACUCAGGGGGUCUCACUGUGUUGCCCAGGGUGUUCUCGAACUCCUGGGCUCAAGCGAACCUCCCUCCUCGGUCUCCCAAAGUGCUGGGAUUACAGGCGUGAGCCACCGCAUCUGGCUU
rnacentral:lncRNA from 10 species